ensembl:lncRNA
AGAAAAAGCACCACAGAGCCCCAUCGCUCGUCCACAGCUUUCUCUGCUUUGAUGAAGAAGAUUAAUGAUGAAGAUUAAUGCGCUCAGUGAAAAAGUGCCCAGGCGCAGUUUAUGGUCAACUCUGCGCACGUUUUGGUUUGUCGCAAAAUAUUACAAAUAGGAAAUAAAAAAAUCCCUUGUGAAAUAAGUGAUGAGAGACGCAAAAGUACGCCGCUGCCUCCUUCCCCAACCGAAUUCGCCUUCAUCUCGGUGGAUAUUUGGCGAGCGCGUAUUUUCAUUCGAGCAGCCCGAUUAUUAUUUGCGUCGACAAAAGUUGUUUUGCGGCUACACGCUCAGGGUGAACAUAAAUACGUAUAAAAAUAACAAACUGCGUGCGUGGCUGUCUGACGUUCGCCCAAACCCCGACGCCAGCAGAGCGAGCCGUGAACGUUACACCUUCCACCAAAAAAAAAAAAAAAAAGAAGAAGCAUUUCUAAAGUAAUACCAGUUCAUAAAACACGCCAAACAAAAACAGCCAUGCAAAUGCCCCCUCUCCCCUUCUCCCCCCCUCCCAACAACAAAAAUCACGGUUCAAGUUUCACGCCGAAGGACGUCUGAAGUCCUGUCCGGGGAUUUGAACAAGGGGGAAAGAUAACGGCGCACUUACUGAAGCUCCUCUUCGUCGCCGCCGUGGGCAUUUCUCUCCGGCUCCGAGACCCGCGCGCUUCCUCCUCCCGUCUCCAGCUGGCGAGCACGCGAAACAAAUCCACCGCGCGCCACUGAGCCGCCGCAGAACGCGCGAGUUAGCGCCAAGUAAAUGAAGAGGUGCUGGUAUGGUGCGCGUGUGUGUGUGUGUGUGUCGGGGGAUACGAGUCCAGACGAACACGAGGUCCUGGUGGAGACCGGGGUCUAUCCGGGUCUGUCGCGGCCGCUGCCGUUCCUCGCGCCGCGAACCGGCUCUCACGUGAGCCUCUCGCUCCAAGUGUCGAACUGAGCCGUGGAAGGUUGGGGAGUUUUUUCUUUUUUUUUUCUUCUUCUUCCUUUUACGUCUCUUCCUCCACAAGUCACGCUUCCCUCUGCGUCCGUGCCGGUCGGUCAGCGGAGUUCUUCGGCUUCGCUCGGCUGCACUCGCCGCCGCGUCCACUCCACACUCCUCCCGCUGCGCGCGCGUGCGCACCCCCCCCCCCCCUCUCCAAGUCCUGCAGCUUUCGUAAAACGUGCACGACACAGAGGAGACGCGGGGGGGUCGUCGUACCUGUCGUGUUUAUUUCUCGGUGCACGCUAAGCACGAGAGAGACGAUGACCACGCAAUUAAAGAGGAGUAAGAAGAGGUAAAGACAUGGUAGCAGCUUGGAGAAUCAGAGGAAUUAAACUAUUCAUGAUUUUCCUGUGGUGGAGGGGGUGGGGGCCUUCCAGGGAAAUCCAGGUGGUGGUCCCAAGGCCCCCACUCUGGGAGCCAGUACAAAAAUGUCAUGAAUCAUCACUGAGAAUAGAACAUGUAUAAAUACUGCCCUAUUAUCCCCGUUUUCCUUUUUUGAGCAAAUCAAAUGCACCCA